rfam:Brachypodium distachyon strain Bd21 chromosome 4, whole genome shotgun sequence.
AUGUUACUCCCUCCGAUCCAUAUUAAUUGUCGAAAUAUUACAUGUAUUUAGACACUUUUUAGCCAUAGAUACAUCCAUAUUUGGGCAAAUUUGAGACAAUUAAUAUGGAUCGGAGGGAGUAGAUC